CCCUACGGGGCGCAGCAGUGGGGAAUUUUGCGCAAUGGGCGAAAGCCUGACGCAGCAACGCCGCGUGAGUGAUGAAGGCUUUCGGGUCGUAAAGCUCUGUCAAGGGGAAAGAAGUGUAUUAUGGCUAAUAUCCAUGAUACUUGACGGUACCCCUAAAGGAAGCACCGGCUAACUCCGUGCCAGCAGCCGCGGUAAUACGGAGGGUGCGAGCGUUGUUCGGAAUUAUUGGGCGUAAAGCGCGUGUAGGCGGUUUGUUAAGUCUGAUGUGAAAGCCCCGGGCUCAACCUGGGAAGUGCAUUGGAUACUGGCAGACUUGAAUACGGGAGAGGGUAGUGGAAUUCCUGGUGUAGGAGUGAAAUCCGUAGAUAUCAGGAGGAACACCGGUGGCGAAGGCGGCUACCUGGACCGAUAUUGACGCUGAGACGCGAAAGCGUGGGGAGCAAACAGGAUUAGAUACCCCGGUAGC
rnacentral:rRNA from 1 species